AGAAAAGAAAAGAAAAGAAAAGAAAAGAAAAGAAAAGAAAAGAAAAGAAAAGAAAAGAAAAGAAAAGAAAAGAAAAGAAAAGAAAAGAAAAGAAAAAGAAGGAGGAAAAAGUGUGUCUACAUAUAUAAAAAAACUAGCUCAGUGGAGCCUCCCAAACAUCCGUUUGUACAGGAUUCAGACAAAGGUCCAGAUUAGUCUUCUGUCCUAUUUGGACCAGUUCACUCACCGUGCAUCACAAAAGCAUGUGUAUUUUUAUCGAUUGCCUCUGUCCACACCACUAUAUCCUGUUCUUUUUGCUGCACUGUUGCAUUGAUUUCUUCUGCCCAAAUCACAGUAUUGAUUUUUUCCACCUCUGUUACAUCUCCUAUGCUUCUCCCAGCCACCCACUUGAUUAAUAGGGAAAGUGCAAGAUUAAGUGCUCAUCCUACAAGCACUUAUGCAUGUGAAGAGUUUGUACAUGGGGAUAAAUCUAAGGCCAUUUUUUAAUGCUGCAGGGUCUGUGUAUAAAGCUAUGCAUUAAAUAUUUUAUCAUAGAAUCACUUCUGUUGUAAAAGACCCCUACGAGAACACAGGGAUUUCAUGAAAGUAUAGUAUGAGGAUGGUAUACAGUCCUUUGUUGUUAGUCUUCAUUAAGGCAAUGAAAAACAAUUCAAAACUCUCAGCUCUUCUACCAAAACAAUGCUGAAAGGCAGCUUUACUUAAAAUUACUGACACAGAGAUGAAAGUAAGACUUUCUGCCAAGGAUAGGCCAGACUUCCUAUGGAGGUCAGUACUUGCAGCUGCAGAAAAGGAGACAAUCUGAGGCACUGAGUGCAUCUUCAUUUUGACACAUAUCCUGCUCUGAAGAUACUGAGGUUGUUGGGAAGUCUUCUUCUGAUUCUGGAUGCAGGUACUUUGGAAAGCCUGCUUACAAUUACAGUCCAUGAAUCAGAUCUUAAUGGACGUUUAACAGCUACUACAGCUAUUUAAAAUAAUCUUGCAUGUGUUGUUCCAAGGAGGAUUUUUUCUUUAAUAUAAAGAAAGGAGUAAUUCUGCAACAUUCUAAAAUGAUUGUCUGAAUAGUGUAACGAAAUACAUCACUGAUAUGGAAACAAUAUACUCUAAUUUUUUAUAGAAUAUGGUAUUACAAAUUGUACAUGAUAAGAUGUUUAGUACCCAGCAAUCAUGUUGAAACUAGAAAUGAUUUCUCUUUAAUUAAAAACUCUCACUCUCUCUCCCUGAGCUCUGGUGAAGACAGCAAGGAAUUCCUUUGGAGAUUUCUUUGUAAAGCAAAACAAGCACUGUAUUGCUUCUUUCAGUCACUCCUAUCCUGAAGUGAGAGCUGCCUGUGACCAUCCUAUUCAGGAUUUUUUAUCCUGAGGAUCCGAAUGUGGGAGAUCAGCAUCACCUCACACCAACAUGAGGACACCUCUAUGAAGCAUGUG
ensembl:lncRNA